GAUCAUGGCUCAGGAUGAACGCUGGCGGCGUGCCUAACACAUGCAAGUCGAGCGAUUACUUCGGUAAAGAGCGGCGGACGGGUGAGUAACGCGUGGGUAACCUGCCUCAUACACAUGGAUAACAUACCGAAAGGUAUGCUAAUACAGGAUAAUAUAAGAGAUUCACAUGGAUUUUUUAUCAAAGCUCCGGCGGUAUGAGAUGGACCCGCGUCUGAUUAGCUAAUUGGUAAGGUAAUGGCUUACCAAGGCGACGAUCAGUAGCCGACCUGAGAGGGUGAUCGGCCACAUUGGAACUGAGACACGGUCCAAACUCCUACGGGAGGCAGCAGUGGGGAAUAUUGCACAAUGGGCGAAAGCCUGAUGCCAGCAACGCCGCGUGAGUGAUGAAGGCCUUCGGGUCGUAAAACUCUGUCCUCAAGGAAGAUAAUGACGGUACUUGAGGAGGAAGCCCCGGCUAACUACGUGCCAGCCGCUGC
rnacentral:rRNA from 1 species